rnacentral:rRNA from 1 species
CGCGUAGGCGGCUUGGCAAGUCAGAUGUGAAAGCCCCGGGCUUAACCCGGGAAUUGCAUCUGAAACUGCUUUGCUUGAGUCCUGGAGGGGGUAGUGGAAUUCCCAGUGUAGCGGUGAAAUGCGUAGAUAUUGGGAGGAACACCUGCGGCGAAGGCGGCUACCUGGACAGUGACUGACGCUGAGGCGCGAAAGCUAGGGGAGCGAACG